AUAAGAGGUCCCGCCUGCCCUGUGACAUACGUGUUUAACGGCCGCGGUAUUUUGACCGUGCAAAGGUAGCGCAAUCACUUGUCUUUUAAAUGAAGACCUGUAUGAAUGGCAUAACGAGGGCUUAACUGUCUCCUUUUUCAAGUCAAUGAAAUUGAUCUCCCCGUGCAGAAGCGGGGAUAACCCCAUAAGACGAGAAGACCCUAUGGAGCUUUAGACACAAGGCAGAUCUUGUUAAUCACCUUUAAACAAAAAGCCAAACCAGAAGAACCCUGCCCUAAUGUCUUUGGUUGGGGCGACCGCGGGGAAACAAACAACCCCCACGUGGAUUAGGAGAACUUCUCCCACAACCAAGAGCCACAGCUCUAAGCAACAGAAUCUCUGACCAUCAGAUCCGGCUACACGCCGAUCAACGGACCGAGUUACCCUAGGGAUAACAGCGCAAUCCCCUUUUAGAGCCCAUAUCGACAAGGGGGUUUACGACCUCGAUGUUGGAUCAGGACAUCCUAAUGGUGCAGCCGCUAUUAAGGGUUCGUUUGUUCAACGAUUAAAGUCCUACGUGAUC
rnacentral:rRNA from 1 species